CCAUCAACACAACAGAACCUUUUACGCUCAUCAAAUAAAAGUCAAUUAAAAUAAAAAGACCUCAAAACCUCACAUUACUAACCGAAGACUCUUUGUACUUUGUGAUCAUCAACAACAACCAAUUAGCCUCUGCGUAAUUCCCUUAAUCAAAGAUCAAGAUGAGUUAUGUUCAUGGACAUACUCAUGAACAAGACCCUUACCCCCCACCCGGGUAUGGUUCAGGCUAUCCACCUCCAGGGUAUCCACAAGGACCACCACCACCUGGAUAUGGGUAUCCACCACCACCUCCAAAUCCUGGACAUCAUCAAGGAUAUCCACCAAAUCCUGGUUAUCAAGGUUACUUCAAUAACGAUGGGUAUCCACCACCACAACAACAACAACCACAAUACCAAGGUUACCAAUAUCAUCACCACCAUCAAAGUGACGAUGGAUGUUCAUCUUUUUUCAGAGGAUGCUUGGCUGCACUUUGUUGCUGUUGUUUGUUGGAUGAAUGCUGUUUCUAGGUCGGUUGUCUGGCUGUAUUUACGAAUGGACACAUCUGAUCUCAUCCGAUCUGGUCAACGUAGUAAAAUAUUUGGCCGCACUUUGUUGCUGUUGUGUGUUGGAGGAGUGCUGCUGCUGUUUCUAGUUUGGUUGUCUGGCUGGCUAUGUUACCGUACGCCUAAUCUGAUCUGCUGGAUGUUUAUAUAUGCUUUUAUCUAUUUAAACUCUUUUGAAACCCUAAAUAGUGUCUUGAUAGUUGUAUGCAAUCUACAGAAUUAUUAUGAUACAGAUAGAAUCUGUAAUUGUUAUGUUAUUAUGGUUUCAGUUUCUUCUAGGUUAUGUUUGUCUUCUCCGUUUAUGUACAUUCUCGGUCUAUUAUCCAAGCCCUGCGGGUUAUGAGCCUA